rnacentral:rRNA from 1 species
UGGGGAAUUUUGGACAAUGGGCGCAAGCCUGAUCCAGCCAUUCCGCGUGCAGGACGAAGGCCUUCGGGUUGUAAACUGCUUUUGUACGGAACGAAAAGGCUCUGGCUAAUACCUGGGGCUCAUGACGGUACCGUAAGAAUAAGCACCGGCUAACUACGUGCCAGCAGCCGCGGUAAUACGUAGGGUGCAAGCGUUAAUCGGAAUUACUGGGCGUAAAGCGUGCGCAGGCGGUUAUGUAAGACAGAGGUGAAAUCCCCGGGCUCAACCUGGGAACUGCCUUUGUGACUGCAUAGCUGGAGUACGGCAGAGGGGGACGGAAUUCCGCGUGUAGCAGUGAAAUGCGUAGAUAUGCGGAGGAACACCGAUGGCGAAGGCAAUCCCCUGGGCCUGUACUGACGCUCAUGCACGAAAGCGUGGGGAGCAAACA